rnacentral:rRNA from 1 species
ACGAACGCUGGCGGCAUGCCUAACACAUGCAAGUCGAACGAGACCUUCGGGUCUAGUGGCGCACGGGUGCGUCACGCGUGGGAACCUGCCCUUAGGUUCGGAAUAACUCCCCGAAAGGGGUGCUAAUACCGGAUAAUGUCUUCGGACCAAAGAUUUAUCGCCUUUGGAUGGGCCCGCGUUGGAUUAGCUAGUUGGUAGGGUAAAAGCCUGCCAAGGCGACGAUCCAUAGCUGGUCUGAGAGGAUGAUCAGCCACACUGGGACUGAGACACGGCCCAGACUCCUACGGGAGGCAGCAGUGGGGAAUAUUGGACAAUGGGCGAAAGCCUGAUCCAGCAAUGCCGCGUGAGUGAUGAAGGCCUUAGGGUUGUAAAGCUCUUUUACCCGGGAUGAUAAUGACAGUACCGGGAGAAUAAGCUCCGGCUAACUCCGUG